CUACGGGAUGCACCAGUGGGGAAUUUUGCGCAAUGGGGGAAACCCUGACGCAGCAAUACCGCGUGAGUGAAGAAGGCCUUUGGGUCGUAAAGCUCUUUUCUUGGGGAAGAUAGUGACGGUACCCAAGGAAUAAGCACCGGCUAACUCCGUGCCAGCAGCCGCGGUAAUACGGAGGGUGCAAGCGUUGUUCGGAUUUACUGGGCGUAAAGGGCACGUAGGCGGCACAGCAAGUUAAGGGUGAAAUCCCGGGGCUCAACUCCGGAACUGCUCUUAAAACUGCUGAGCUAGAGAUAGUCAGAGGCGGGUGGAAUUCCAGGUGUAGAGGUGAAAUUCGUAGAUAUCUGGAGGAACACCGGUGGCGAAGGCGGCCCGCUGGGGCUAUUCUGACGCUAAGGUGCGAAAGCGUGGGGAGCAAACGGGAUUAGAUACCCGAGUAGUC
rnacentral:rRNA from 1 species